CUGGGGAGUACGGUCGCAAGAUUAAACUCAAAGGAAUAGACGGGGACCCGCACAAGUGGUGGAGCAUGUGGUUUAAUUCGAAAAUACGCGAAGAACCUUACCUAGCCUUGACAUUGAUUGAAUACUUUAGAGAUAGAGUAGUGGCCUUCGGGGAACAUGAAAACAGGUGCUGCACGGCUGUCGUCAGCUCGUGUCGUGAGAUGUUGGGUUAAGUCCCGCAACGAGCGCAACCCUCGUCCUUAGUUGCCAGCAGGUUAAGCUGGGCACUUUAAGGAGACUGCCUUCGCAAGGAGGAGGAAGGUGAGGACGACGUCAAGUCAUCAUGGCCCUUAUGGCUAGGGCUACACACGUGCUACAAUGGGGCAUACAGAGAGUUGCGAUACCGCGAGGUGGAGCCAAUCUCAUAAAGCGUCCCUCAGUUCGGAUUGAAGUCUGCAACUCGACUUCAUGAAGCUGGAAUCACUAGUAAUCGUAGAUCAGCAAUGCUACGGUGAAUACGUUCCCGGGUCUUGUACUCACCGCCCGUCACA
rnacentral:rRNA from 1 species